rnacentral:rRNA from 1 species
AACUUUCAACAACGGAUCUCUUGGUUCUGGCAUCGAUGAAGAACGCAGCGAAAUGCGAUAAGUAAUGUGAAUUGCAGAAUUUAGUGAAUCAUCGAAUCUUUGAACGCACAUUGCGCCCCUUGGUAUUCCGAGGGGCAUGCCUGUUC